rnacentral:rRNA from 1 species
CCUACGGGGAGCAGCAGUGAGGAAUAUUGGUCAAUGGGCGGAAGCCUGAACCACCCAUGCCGCGUGCAGGAAGACGGCUCUAUGAGUUGUAAACUGCUUUUGUACGAGGGUAAACGCAGAUACGUGUAUCUGUCUGAAAGUAUCGUACGAAUAAGGAUCGGCUAACUCCGUGCCAGCAGCCGCGGUAAUACGGAGGAUUCAAGCGUUAUCCGGAUUUAUUGGGUUUAAAGGGUGCGUAGGCGGUCGGAUAAGUUAGAGGUGAAAUCCCGAGGCUCAACUUCGGAAUUGCCUCUGAUACUGUUCGGCUAGAGAGUAGUUGCGGUAGGCGGAAUGUAUGGUGUAGCGGUGAAAUGCUUAGAGAUCAUACAGAACACCGAUUGCGAAGGCAGCUUACCAAGCUACUUCUGACGUUGAGGCACGAAAGCGUGGGGAGCAAACAGGAUUAGAUACCCGGGUAGUC